AGUAAAUAUCUUUUAAAGCAUGACAUUGAAUUGGGAUAUGGGCACGGACACAGCUGAUGCUAUAACUUUCUCUUCAGAAGUAAAUUAGUGUCAUUUUUUAUGGUUCAUUGUCAUAGAGGCAGCGGUGGCAGUAGAAGUUCUGGAAAGCCAUCAAAUUUACUCAUUGAUCGCAUCCACAGGACCUGCACUUUGUUAAACAAUGCGCAUAGAAUGAUGAACAAGUCAGGGACUGAAGACCUGUCAGUGGAAAUUUAUACUUUGUUUUUAAGUAAGAGAGAAGAAAUAUGAAUGACCCAGGAAAAAGAAGUGACCACAGUAAGUAACCUUUUUAAGACAUUCCUCUUUUCCUAACUUCCCAGAAGCGAUCACACUUAGAAAUGGGAGUUAAGUCCUCCAAUUUUUGUGGUUCUGUCCUUAUGUGAGUUCUCAAGCCGCCCCUGGGCUCUUAUCACAACCCAGAACCUCAAGUUUAAUGAACAAAUGCUCUACCUAAGAGAUACAGUUUUAUCUUCAAAUCUGUCACUUCAGAUGAAAAGCAGGCCCCUGAAUCUUUGAGCUAAGGAAUAGGGUCAUUUUGUUAGGGUCGAGUGGUAACAUGGAAAGUAUGUCCUAUUGAGAGAUCAUGUUCUCUGCUUUCUGAAGCAUAACUGUGGUGGUAACUGAACAGGUAGUACUUUUCAGUGUUUGCAAAUUUUACUAAAACGUCAGGUAUACGUAGUAUCUAUAGACUCAUGUGUCUGUUCAAGAGUGAGCUUAUUUUGUUCUUAUUUUAUAUUUAACCCACUAAAUGAUGUACCUAUUUUUUCCCUUUCUGGUAUAAAUUUAAUUUGCUAUAGUAAUGCCUACAUUUGCUAGAAGUGAUUAUAUUAAUUAAUUCGAAAGCUGAAAGUUAUUUUCUUUAUUCUGUUGCAUAAAUAAAUGAUUGAAUGCCACUGCUUUUGGAUAAGCAUGGUCAAAUGAUAAUUGUGUUCAUAUUUUUGGAAUCAAUUUUAUAUUACUCUAAUUUGUUACAAUGCUUUUGUAUGUGCAAUAGUCUCUCGUUAAAUCAGGCAUUCCUUAAAUGGUAUUAAUUAACAUGUGUAAAAUCUACCUUGAAAACUCAUUUAAUUUUACAAAUUAUACUACUUCAUGACAGUAUCCCUGGAGCUUCAUCAAGUCUCCGAUUUCUAAAUAAUUUUGAAGUAAAAAGGAUUUUUAAUUAAAAAAAAAAAAACCAAAGUUCUUUUCACAAUCGUAUUUGGCAGGAAAACAUUG